GAUGAACGCUAGCGGCAGGCUUAACACAUGCAAGUCGAGGGGCAUCGGGAGUAGCAAUACUUGCCGGCGACCGGCGCAAGGGUGCGUAACGCGUGAGCAACAUGCCCGUAUCAGGGGGAUAAUCCAUGGAAACGUGGUCUAAUACCCCAUAGUAAGUUUUUGGGGCAUCUCAAAGAUUUUAAAGCUUUGGUGGAUACGGAUUGGCUCGCGUGACAUUAGCUAGAUGGUAAGGUAACGGCUUACCAUGGCUACGAUGUCUAGGGGUUCUGAGAGGAAGGUCCCCCACACUGGAACUGAGACACGGUCCAGACUCCUACGGGAGGCAGCAGUGAGGAAUAUUGGACAAUGGAUGGAAAUCUGAUCCAGCCAUGCCGCGUGCAGGAAGACGGCCCUAUGGGUUGUAAACUGCUUUUGUAUGGGAGCAAUAAGGGCUACGUGUAGUCCGAUGAGAGUA
rnacentral:rRNA from 1 species